GUGCCUGAAGCCAGCCCCAGACUCUUCCCACUGAGCCUAAGGAGCGAAAACUCAGCCGGGCAGGUGGUCAUUGCCUGCCUGGUCCAGGGCUUCUUCCCGUCAGAGCCACCGAAGGUGACCUGGAGCCAGAGCGGCAAUGACGUGUCCAUCAGGAACUUCCCCCCUGCUCAGGCCGGGGGCCUGUACACCAUGAGCAGCCAGCUGACCUUGCCAGCCAACAAGUGCCCAGCCGACAAGUCUGUGAAAUGCCAAGUGCAGCACCUCUCCAAAUCCAGCCAGACCGUGGACGUGCCCUGCCAAGUUCCCUUCCCAUUUCCCUGCCGAGGUCUACCUAGGCCGUGUUCGUGCAGAAAUCCCAGCCUGUCCCUGAACCCACCGGUCCUUGAGGACUUGCUCCUGGGCUCCAAUGCCAGCCUCACAUGUACGCUGAGUGGCCUGAGAGACCCCAAGGGCGCCUCCUUCACCUGGAACCCGACAGGUGGGAAGAACGCCAUCCAGGAGCCGCCCAAGCCUGACUCCUGCGGCUGCUUCAGUGUGUCCAGUGUCCUGCCGGGCUGCGCCGAUCCCUGGAAAAACAGACAGUCUUUCUCCUGCACCGCCACCCACCCCGAGUCCAAGGGCUCGCUAACCGCCACCAUCACGAAACCCUCAGUGAACACGUUCCGGCCAGAGGUCCACCUGCUGCCGCCGCCGUCGGAGGAGCUGGCCCUCAACGAGAUGGUGACGCUGACGUGCCUGGUGCGAGGUUUCAGCCCCAAGGAUGUGCUGGUGCGGUGGCUGCAGGGCAACCAGGAGCUGCCCCGCAAGAAGUACCUGACCUGGAGGCCCCUGCCUGAGCCCAACCAGAGUGUCCCCACCUUCGCCGUGACCAGCGUGCUGCGCGUGGAUGCCGAGGCCUGGAAGCAGGGGGAGUCCUUCUCCUGCAUGGUGGGCCACGAGGCCCUGCCCCUGGCCUUCACCCAGAAGACCAUCGACCGCCUGGCGGGUAAACCCACCCACGUGAACGUGUCUGUGGUCAUGUCGGAGGUGGACGGCGUCUGCUACUGAGCCGUGCCCCCGCCCCACCCGCCCCUUGAAUAAACUCCAUGCUCACC